AAAAGAGCUGUGAAUCAUGCUCUGUGUGAGCACAUGUGGUCAAUCUCACCAGUCAGCCACACAGGAAACACGAGGAGCCGAUGGAGAAAAGACAGCUAUAGAUCAUUGAGCAUUUGCAAGAAAGACGUAUGUGUUCUUAACAGUUCUCCAGCCUGGAUCAUGCAAAAUGCACACCAAAAGAACAACAUUCAUGUUGUUAUUUUCUGCAAGGCGUUAAAAGUUACUCGUGACCACUGCAGCAAAGAGAAGACAUCUGCUUAAAUUCAUCUUCACAAUCUUAAGACAUAAACAAGGAACAUGAGUUUCUUUAGAAACCACACAGACGCUGUAAAACUGCAUUCUGGACACCUGACUCAGAUCCAGAGGAGCUGUGAUGUUGCAUAAUCAGGAUUUCUAAGUUUGAUGUCUACUAAAGCUUUCAUGAAACAAAUAAAUAAUCCCCAGAUCAAAGCUGGGAAAAAAAGGUUGUGCAUGAUGUGAGUUCUGAGCUUAAGGCGAAUGCUUACAUAACGUCAGAUCAAAUGCAGAAUAUAGAAAUCAACAUUAGAGGAAAAGUGGAGGCCCAAGAAAUUGAAGUAAUUCUUGUAAUUUUAUAUUUAAACAAAAAUGAAAUAAGAACUAGUACAACUUUUUUUAAUUUUCUCUUUUUUAGAAUGCAAAUAUACAAAGCUGCAUUAUCAUGAUUUGGGUUUCAUAAUUAAUUUAAUAUUUGCUGUCUUACAAAUUAUUUUUAAUGUGCUGUAUGAGGUGAAAUAAAAUGACCAUUAAGCUAACUUGAUUCCUAACAAUUCUGAACAUAUUGAUUUAAUAUGCUUAACCGUUUUAGGCUAAACUUUCUUUACAAACAUCACCCUGUAUUAAAAUGACAGGAUUAGGUAGAAGGUCCAGUAAAAGAAGGCAGGAUAAGAGAAUAAAUACCUUGCAUGUUUUGUUCGGUGUCACCUAUAAUUCACUCUCCAAAAGGUCAUUUUUCAAUGCCUGUAGGUCAGUGUCUCAGAAGAUUUAACCCUACGUAUAACAUUGAUGUCACUAGAUGUCACCAGUAAAUACUGGGCUAAUAUGGUCUUUAUCAAAUAGAUAGUUAAACAAUUGAAGUAGAAAAUCUGCUGACUUGUUUGCCUGCUAGUUAGUUAUAAAUAAAGUUAUGAAGUCAAAGAGUCAAAAUUCUAUUCUCAGUCUAAUCAGAAUACUUACCUGUUUUACUGCAAGAGCACUAGAAUUUAAAUUUAACAUCUCAAAAUAUGGUCUAGUGUCUUUUUUGUAAAUCUGUAAACCAAAUUUAAAAAAAGCUUCAUGUUAUUUUUUCAUUUGACCAAACAAGAUAAAAAAUGUCAUCAUCAACUGUUCAGUUCUGCCAAGAUUCAGGAAAUAUUUUAAUUUUACACAGUUGCAUAAUGUAUUUAUAUUUUUAAUGUUCACACAUCUUUAAAAAAUACAGAAUCAAUUACUUGUUGUGUUCCAAAUUAAUGAAUGCACUAUAAAGAUAUUUAACCUUUUUACAGAGGUAUUUCUGAAGGGGUAUUGAUGGUUGUCACUUGACUUCAGUCUAAAUGAAACGCCCCCUGGUGGGCAGAAAGCUACAGUUGUCCUGUACACACCAGUUUCAUUAGUUGAAAACGAAACUGCCGAAGAGCUUUUGCAAAAUCAAAAUGUACAAUUCUCAUAGAAGACAAACUAGGGUAUUUUUAUAGGUUAUAGUCUGAGAAUGAACCUGGAAAAUUAAAUGAAUUUAGACUGGCAUUUGUGAAAACCUUGUGGUCUUGAGUUGUACCAGAGGGAAAUCAGUUGAUAGCUGCACCUUCAACAAGUAGCUAAUUAUUGAUAAGAGGAAGUAAAUCAAGGUGCAUUACUUCUCCGUGAUUGUCAUAUCGUAAUAGUUUUUGAGACAUUUGCUGUUAGUAAAUGCUUUUAGCGCCCUGCUAAUAGACAUUUUUUUCAUUAGUGUCUCUACUUCACAUUAGUGUCAAGUUUAGGACUUAUAUCCAGAAGGUUUUUUUUUAGGCUGAUGUAAAUUCGCUUCAUUCAGUAGCGGUUUCAGGCACGGGCAAAAUGGACAAUUGCCCGGGGCGCAAAUUUCAAUGGGGGCUUUCAGCCUGGAACUUCCGUUUGGGGUCCUUCCGACUGAAGGCAACACUACAGUAACCCCACUUGGACAAACUACGUAGGUUCGAGAUCUGCUCGGGCUCAACAAAUUUUCAUUUCUCGAUCCCUUUUUUAACCUAAAGUUAUUUUCCCUCAUGAAUUGUGUCUGACAAUUCAUGCAUUUCUGUAAAAUAUUCAAAUAAAGAUAGGGAAUACAAAAUGAUGGCGUUAAAUUUGUGUGUGCGGGGGGGUUACUCGCCCGGGGAGUAAGUUGGUGUAGAACCGCCACUGGCUGCAUUGCCUGCACAUAUUUUAAGUGCGUCCAAGGUUGAAUUUUGUUGUUGGUCGCACGUAUUUAAAGUUAAACUCAAUGCCCGAUUAGUUUUCACGCUUCUAGGUGCGUGAAAUGUCUUCUCCACACUUGAUCCAUCGCCUGGAGGAGCGUUGAGCAGCAAAAACAGCCUCACUCAGGAACCAUUUGGAUGUUUAACCCUAACUGUAACCGUAAUCCUAACCUUAACCCAUUCACUGGGUCUGUGCAGCCAAGAAAAAGUUCAGUAUUUCAAAAAUCAUGUGCGAAGAGACUGAUAUGGUGCCGCUGUCAGACUCCUCCCCCUCUCCUCUCCACUUGGCUGUUUCUCCAUCCCAGCUGCUGCCACUUACUUCAUCAUCUCUUCUGCCUUCAUAAGGAGCCUCUGGAUCACCAGUUUUCGCCAGUUCGUUGCCCCUGAUGGGAUCCAUUGUCACAAGUGGUCGCCUGCAUCAACCUCUGUCUGGAACCUUCCCUCCGUUCGCUCCUGCUGGUCCCACCUCGAGCCUCUGCCGUCUUCUGCCAUCUCUUGGACCCCCUCCGGCGUCAACUCCUUCCGACUGCCUGCAGAAAGAUCCAGCAGUGACGCCACUCGAGUUCGAUCUUCACUCUCUGGGAACCCUAGAUCCUGCCCACGGUUUUCUGUCUGUUCACUAUUAAAACCUCUUACCUGCCACGCUCGUCCUCCUCUGUGUUUCUUCUGGGUUCCAGCGUCUGGGUCGAAAAGUGUUCUGUAGCCAUGACAGAGACAUUUUCCUUUUCUUUUCUUUUUAAUCACACCAACAUAUUAAAAAGUUAAACAGGUUGUCAGGGAUCUCACAGCCUCUGCUUUUACAAAGACGAUUUUUUUACUUGCUCUUUACUUGUCUUUUUUAUUGCAGUUUUGUUCCAUACUAAUUAAACACAAGUGAAGUCUU